rnacentral:rRNA from 1 species
CCUACGGGAGGCAGCAGUGGGGAAUCUUGCGCAAUGGGCGAAAGCCUGACGCAGCCAUGCCGCGUGAAUGAUGAAGGUCUUAGGAUUGUAAAAUUCUUUCACCGAGGACGAUAAUGACGGUACUCGGAGAAGAAGCCCCGGCUAACUUCGUGCCAGCAGCCGCGGUAAUACGAAGGGGGCUAGCGUUGCUCGGAAUUACUGGGCGUAAAGGGAGCGUAGGCGGAUAGUUUAGUCAGAGGUGAAAGCCCAGGGCUCAACCUUGGAAUUGCCUUUGAUACUGGCUAUCUUGAGUACGGAAGAGGUAUGUGGAACUCCGAGUGUAGAGGUGAAAUUCGUAGAUAUUCGGAAGAACACCAGUGGCGAAGGCGACAUACUGGUCCGUUACUGACGCUGAGGCUCGAAAGCGUGGGGAGCAAACAGGAUUAGAUACCCUGGUAGUCCACGCUGUAAACGAUGAGUGCUAGUUGUCGGCAUGCAUGCAUGUCGGUGACGCAGCUAACGCAUUAAGCACUCCGCCUGGGGAGUACGGUCGCAAGNUUAAAACUCAAAUGAAUUGACGG